rnacentral:rRNA from 1 species
UGGGGAAUAUUGGACAAUGGGCGCAAGCCUGAUCCAGCAAUGCCGCGUGUGUGAAGAAGGCCUUCGGGUUGUAAAGCACUUUUAUCAGGAGCGAAACGCUGUCGGCUAAUACCCGGCGGAACUGACGGUACCUGAGGAAUAAGCACCGGCUAACUUCGUGCCAGCAGCCGCGGUAAUACGAAGGGUGCAAGCGUUAAUCGGAAUUACUGGGCGUAAAGCGUGCGUAGGCGGUUUCUUAAGUCUGCUGUGAAAUCCCCGGGCUCAACCUGGGAAUGGCAGUGGAUACUGGGAGGCUAGAGUGUGUCAGAGGGUGGUGGAAUUCCCGGUGUAGCGGUGAAAUGCGUAGAGAUCGGGAGGAACAUCAGUGGCGAAGGCGGCCACCUGGGACAACACUGACGCUGAGGCACGAAAGCGUGGGGAGCAAACAGGAUUAGAUA